CACACCGCCAUGUUUACUGAAUGUCAGCUGACAAAAGAACAGCUCACGCCAUUGCACAAAGGCAGCCAGAAGCUGUGGUCACAUGAUCUUCACUCUUACUGCUUGGAGCUCUGUCUGGCUCAUGUCAAGUUGUGACACCCAUCUUUCCUGAACGGUUAGAGACUCCAGUCCACAUCCCUACCACUAGCCUAUGCUAGCCUGGACGUAGCAGUCAGUCAGUAUCAGCUCCAUGUUGGUGGAGGCCCUGAUGGACACGAAGCAAUGCCAGCACUUGCUGGAGAAGUCAAUGACAGCUCUGAGAGACUGGAACAUUCAAGCCUGCAGGGAAGCUCUUUAAACAGGAAGGUUAGCAAUUCAAAACAGCUUCAGGAAGGAACUCUCUGAAACUGGCCAAAUUCUGUCUCUCCUCCUCAAGAUGUAAACAAGCCAAGUUUCUCUGAGUUCCUCUCAGACAAGACAAGCUACAAAGAUGACUCUGAGACCAGACCAGCUACCUGGUAGAAGCAGAAAACAGCCUUGCUGCUUGGAAGAGGCUUAGACCAGCUAGGACUCAAAGGACACUCUUCUACCUGGGGAGCUGUGGCAGGCUGUGCAGUGUGCUCCACAUUCCCAGCUCUUGCGAGCUUGUCACCGAACCUGGGGCGGCCUUUGGUGGUGCAGCUGUCUUUGAAUCACUGAUGCACCUGUACGUCACCUCUCACCCAUAUUCCUGGAAACAAUGCCCAUAAAGCUCAUUGGCUCACCAA